GAUGAACGCUGGCGGCGUGCCUAAUACAUGCAAGUCGAGCGAACGGACGAGAAGCUUGCUUCUCUGAUGUUAGCGGCGGACGGGUGAGUAACACGUGGAUAACCUACCUAUAAGACUGGGAUAACUUCGGGAAACCGGAGCUAAUCCCGGAUAAUAUUUUGAACCGCAUGGUUCAAAGGUGAAAGACGGUCUUGCUGUCACUUAUAGAUGGAUCCGCGCUGUAUUAGCUAGUUGGUAAGGUAACGGCUUACCAAGGCAACGAUGCAUAGCCGACCUGAGAGGGGGAUCGGCCACACUGGAACGGAGACACGGUCCAGACUCCUACGGGAGGCAGCAGUAGGGAAUCGUACGCAAUGGGCGAAAGCCUGACGGAGCAACGCCGCGUGAGUGAUGAAGGUCUUCGGAUCGUAAAACUCUGUUAUUAGGGAAGAACAUAUGUGUAAGUAACUGUGCACAUCUUGACGGUACCUAAUCAGAAAGCCACGGCUAACUACGUG
rnacentral:rRNA from 1 species